rnacentral:lncRNA from 1 species
AUGAUCGCUGAGGUGGUGGCCAGGAACAUUGAACAUUCUUACUCCCAAAGAUAACAGACUACUUUCCAAACGGUCUGAUGAGUUGGUUGUUAAGAAUUCUCUGGCUCUCAGUGUUCAGUGUGAAAGCUUCUCACCUUAAAGAUGGGAUUCUUUCUCUGAAUAGAAAAAAAGAUCAAAUCUAUUUUUACAUAAUUUUUUAUUCCGUUGUGAUUUGGAGGUUUUGAUUUAGUCCGUUUUGUUUUCUUCUGCAUUGAUUACUUGCAGUUUUCUUUCCCUUAAAUCAUUUACAUCUCCCAACGUCUCUUUUAUUAUAGAUGUAUAUAUAUAUAUAUAAGUCCGUAGGAUCAAAAAAAGGAGAACAAGAAAAAAAAGAUAAGUUUUACAAAUAUUGAGUUAAUAGCAACAUAUCGAAAGGGUGUGAGUUCGAAGGUUUUUCCGUUGUGCAAGGAAGAACCUUAUCAGAAGAAGGUUUUGGGCUGUUUUAUCCUGGGGACGACGUGGUGUUUAUGA